GGUUCCAUGGUGUAAUGGUGAGCACUCUGGACUCAGAAUCCAGAAGUAGUGCUGGAACAA
rfam:Nomascus leucogenys chromosome 1a, whole genome shotgun sequence.